UCCGAUAUGGUGUAGUGGCCAACAUGAUGCCCUCUCAUCUUUGUGAGAGGUUAGGUAUAGCCCCGAGUUCGAUUCUCGGUUUCGGAA